UACGGAGAGUGCGAGCGUUGUUCGGAAUCAUUGGGCGUAAAGGGCGUCUAGGCGGCCUACCAAGUCAGGUGUGAAAACCCUCGGCUCAACCGAGGAUCUGCACUUGAAACUGGGGGGCUUGAGUAUCGGAGGGGGCAGCGGAAUUCCCGGUGUAGAGGUGAAAUUCGUAGAUAUCGGGAGGAACACCAGUGGCGAAGGCGGCUGCCUGGCCGAAUACUGACGCUGAAGCGCGAAAGCGUGGGGAGCAAACAGG
rnacentral:rRNA from 1 species